rnacentral:rRNA from 1 species
UACGUAGGGUGCAAGCGUUAAUCGGAAUUACUGGGCGUAAAGCGUGCGCAGGCGGUUGUGCAAGACAGAUGUGAAAUCCCCGGGCUCAACCUGGGAACUGCAUUUGUGACUGCACGGCUAGAGUGUGUCAGAGGGGGGUAGAAUUCCACGUGUAGCAGUGAAAUGCGUAGAUAUGUGGAGGAAUACCGAUGGCGAAGGCAGCCCCCUGGGAUGACACUGACGCUGAAUCACGAAAGCUAGGGGAGCAAACGGG